UCAAUACUAGCACACAAUUUUAUCUUAAGAUUUGUGUACGAUUAGACUAUUUUAUUGACAUUAGGAAGGGUCUAUGAGGGUCAGAUGCCACAGUCUUCACUAUUCUAAUCCCCCACAUGCAGAGCUGCCAGAUGCAGGGAAAUUUCCUGUUUUAGGAAAUCUAGGCCUCAACAGGGAAACAGGGAAGACCCGUAUACUGUCCCUUCCCUUUCCACCCUCGCCCUUGCUAGCUAGCUGAACCUGUAUUCUACGAGACCGAUAGAGACCCGUAUUCACCCAAACAGUGUCAUGACACGUAUGAGAUCCGUAUAUCGUGACCGUCCCUCCCCUUCCUUCCCUCGCCCCUGCUUGAUAGCUGAACGUGUAUUUCUACGAGACAGAGACGCGUAUUCACCAUGUCCGCUUCCUACGAGUCCAGUAUACGAAUCUGCCUCCCUCAGUCUUUCAUACACUGUCGCUAAGCUCAGUUAGGUCUGGAAGUCUCUGAAGGAUUCUAUUACUGGAACGCGUACAGCAGUCAUGUCUACUCCUCCAGCCAAACGCAAAAGGCAGCCAUAUUCGCAGAAAUACACAGAAAAAUGGGAAAGUGACCCAUUGUUUCAAAGUUGGCUGACAAAGAGUGACAAGGGACCUUUGUAUUACCACUGUAAAUUGUGUAACUCUGACGGAAAGGCGGGCAAGUCAGAAAAAGAAAAGCAUGCUGCUGGAGCAAAACAUAUUAAGAUAGUUGAAAGUGCAAAGCGCACAGUUAGUGUACUUGAUAUGCCUAGUGUUAGUGGAAAAAGGCAUGCUGAAAAACAAGUGAAAGAAGCAGAGAUACGGUUGGCUGCAGUAGUGAGCGAGCUAAAUCUUCCAUUCUAAUCUGCAGAUAAACUUGUUCCCGCUAUCCAAGCGAUAUGUCCAGACUCAGAUGUCGCAAAAAAAUUGAAGUGCGGUAAAACUAAAUGUGCAGCCAUCGUGAACAAUGUCCUUGGUCGAAAGGAAUGUGACGAGUUAUUAGUACAUCUUAGAGAAAAUUGUUUCUCUCUAAUGGUGGAUGAGUCAACAGACGGGCUGCGUAAAACAUCUUGCACUUGUUGUACGAGUUGCCACUCAGGAAAGCAUUAAGGAUUCAUUUUUAGCCUUAGUUCCCUUAGAAAGUGCCAGUGCUGAAAGCCUCCAUGAAUGUGUCAAGAGUGUGUUUAAUGGUGCAAAUAUCCCUUACAAACAAAACAUUAUAGGAUUUGCUGCGGAUGGGGCCAGUGUGAUGAUGGGAGCUCGCCAUUCACUCUCAAAAUUGCUAAAGGAUGAUAUACCCAAUUUAUUUAUAAUGAAAUGUGUAUGCCACUCCUUUCAUUUGUGUGCAUCUAAAGCCUGCAACAAGUUGCCAAGCUGGCUUGAGGAUAUGAUCCGUGAUGUCUACAACUACUUCUUGUCACCAAAGCAGACAGCAGCCUUUAAGGAUUUCCAAGAAUUUGCUAAUGUGAAGCCUCACAAGCUAUUACAUCCCUGUCAAACUAGAUGGUUAUCAUUGCAUAGCGCUGUAAAACGGUUACUUGAACAGCUUCCAGCACUUCAGCUAUUUUUCACACAAGCAGCCUUGGAAGAUCGGGUCAUAGCAGCUGACACCAUUCUUCAGAGACUUCGUGACCCAUUCAGUAAGCUUUACUUAGAAUUUCUUGAUUUUGUCUUACCCUUCUUUAAUGACCUAAACAAAGAGAUGCAAAGUGAGAAUCCAAAGAUUUAUGCAUUGCACACUAGAGUCUCUGCUGUCUUGCAUACCAUUCUUGAGUUGUACAUGAAGCCAAGUGUCUUAGAAUCAACACCAUUAUCAGCUGUCAGGGUAAAAGACCCAAACAAUUUCGUUAAAUUGGAAGAGCUAUAUCUUGGAGGACGAGUAACUGCAUCCCUUCAGAAAUACCAAAACCUUGACAAGCAGCAACUGGACACGUUCAAGUUGAGAUGUCUGGACUUUUACAUAGAAGGAGCCUCUCAAAUUUUGCAAAGGUUUAAUCUCAGUGAUUCUGUAUUUACAAAUCUCAAGGCUCUAGAUCCACAAAGUGUACUGAUGAAGACAAUUCCCUCUGUUGCCCCCCUAGCUGCUCAGUUUCCUAACUUGGUGUCUGAAAAUGACUUAAAUGAGAUAGACGGUGAAUGGCGUUUACUGAAAAACACUGAACUGAAUGUAGAACCUGAUAUUAAUGUAUACAAGUUCUGGCAAAAGGUUGGAGACUUGAAAAAAGGUGAUGAUUCCCCAUUAUUUCCACUACUAGGAAAUUUCAUGAAAAACUGUUGUGUCUUCCUCACUCUAGUGCAAGUGUUGAAAGGGUGUUUUCUCAAGUGAAUUUAAUGAAGACCAAAGUUCGUAAUUCACUGAACACAGAAUCGCUAAAUGGAAUGCUUCAUGCAAGGAAAAUUUUUGAAAAUUCAUCAGCUCACAGUUUCAAAGUUACACCGGGGCACUUGGAACUUAUGACAGCUGACAUCUACAAAACUUCAGAUCUACAGGAAUAGCAAUCAUUCUAGCAAACGAACAAAAAACUCACCCAAUUUCCGCCACAUACAUAAUCAACAAACACACUCACUCACACACACACACACACACACACACACACACACACACACACACACACACACACACACACACACACACACACACACAGACGCCCCAAGUCACCCCUUUAGGCCUUCCACAUCAGCCCACGCCCGCCCCGCCCACCAAAACCCUCCCUCACCCUCCCCUACGCCCACAUUCCCCCCACGAACACCCAACGCCCCCCUGCCCACCCACCCCACCACUCCGAGCAAGAAUGUUCAAGAUACCAAGUUUUUGUUAUGAUGUUAUGAAUGGCUCCAGGCUCUCUCUCUCUCUCUCUCUCUCUCUCUCU